GAAUCUGUUUUAUCUGGUUAUACAGAAUUUUACCAUAAAUCUAAUACAAUCUUUACACAGAUCGUGAAGUGAUUGAGUGUGAUGUUUUUUUUAAAAAAUGUUUAUCCAAUACUUGCAUUCGUUAUUGGAAAGACUCGUUAUUGGAAAGAAGAAUUUUUUGCUUGUUCAAAUCCACUUGUGCUGGUUAUGAAUUAGGUUGGGAAUUUGUUGGCUUUGUAUUGUCCAAAGAAACAAUCAGUGGUUUUUUCAGUUUGUAUUCAAACAAAUACAAGCAUAGAAAUACCUCUUAUUUGCCAUUUAUGUCUACAUAAACUACGCAAACAUUUAUUGAUUUUUUGCUUGGGUCUCCCACAUAGACAUUAAUUUUAGUGGAAAAUGUCAUAAUAGGAAACAAAAAUAGGAACUAGCUUCAAAAAUUCUUUUGUAAAACCUAUAGGCGUCUAGAUAGAUCAUUUGUUUUUAAUUCUGAAAAAUUAGAUUCUAAACAGUUUUCAGAGGCUAGGGCUCAUUUAAGAAAGAUUUGUCUUUAUAUUCUGUCUGUUAAAAACUUGGACUAGUUAAACUUUUUAAUGCUGAUACAUUAAAGUUAAAUUCGAUUCUUGUGAGUUAUAUUCCUGCUGAAUGCGUACCGAUUAGUUAGCUAGCUAGAUUAGUUGUAAUAUCCUCUAACUACAACAAUACACCUUCUGAAGAUAUUUUGUUAUUUAUACAAUAUUGCUGUAACUGUGAAAAAAUUCAUAUUUGUGAUGUCGAACCAAAUAACGCAGAAAUCGUUGAAGGCACUUAUAUGGUAGAACAUAUUUUGAAAAGCAUGGGUUAUAUGGUUAAAAAGCUAAAUAAGAAAAAUGCGAAUGUUUUCUGCAGAAUAAAGCUCCAGUAAUAAUUUGUUUGAUGACUUUUCGUCAAAAAUUUGCAACAAAUUAAUUCCUCGAGUAUCUUAAAAAGGUGCAUAUUUCUUAUGUUAUGGUUUUGCCUUAUACAUGGCCAUUGUUACGCAUUCCAUAUUAACCUGGAUUUUUAAAAAACAACUCCUUUUUUCAUGACAUUUCAUUGCACACACAAAUUUGCUGAUGUUUUUCGAUGUAAUCGUUUGGGGAAUUUUUAUCCAAUAAAUUCAUUCAUCUGCGAACAGUUUCUUUUUUCAGAGUAUAAAAUAUUCUGCUAAA